rnacentral:rRNA from 1 species
UACGAACCGUGCAAACGUUGUUCGGAAUCAUUGGUCGUAAAGGGCGUGUAGGCGGUUUGUUAAGUCAUGUGUGAAAUCCCUCGGCUCAACCGGGGAACGACGCAUGAAACUGGCAAGCUAGAGUACCAAAGAGGGGGGUGGAAUUCCCGGUGUAGCGGUGAAAUGCGCAGAUAUCAGGAAGAACACCAACGGCGAAGGCAGCUCGCUGGGACGGUACUGACGCUGAGACGCGAAAGCGUGGGGAGCGAACAGG